rnacentral:lncRNA from 1 species
CUAAAGCUAGUGGGGAAAUAAUACUGCAUUAACUGCUCAAAACAUCUGAGAGGUGCUGGGCAGAUUGUGUUUUCAGCGUGAAGGCUGGUUCAGCUCUUUGUGAAUUUGUAGUAAAUCAGCACUUCAUAAUAAGAACAAAUGUUUCAUUCUCACUUAAAAAUUACUACAGUUAGAAGCUUGUAAUGUGUAGUUUUCAUGCAGGGGUUACAUGACGGGAACUUAAAUCUGUUCCAUUUUCAUCUGUAAUUUAAAACGUGUCAUUUUGAUCGAUGAAUUAGUAAAGGAACCCAGGAUAAUUUUGAAACUACCAGCUUAGUAAAGUUGCCUGACCUUGCAAAUAACCUUUUCAGUUUAGAAGCCUUUAAUAGCUUAACUAUUAGCUAAUCUCCUGGGAAACUUUUUCCCUGGGCAAAACUAGUAUGGAAAUAUAACACCAGUAAUAAGGUUUCCAUCUUUCUUCUAUCUUGAUCUUUUUAAUUAAUUGCCACUCAGUAAAAACAUAGACUGGGAGGCAGGGGAUAAAAAUCUUUGCAAGGGGAGGGCAGGAGUUAACUGCAGACUGUUUCUAUCCUUUACCUGCCCUUUUUGCAUAGAUUCAUUAGGUGCUGAAAGAUAUUAGCAAUUGUUAAGGUACAACUGCUGCUUGAUUGUUUGACGCUUUUGGCUGAAAGCUGUGAAAUCGAUCAUUUUGUUAUGGAAAAAAGGCGCUCAGUGCCUACCAGGAGCAAACAUUUUAAAUACUUGAAUGCUUUGUAGAGCACCUCAGCAGGCCCCUGGGAGCUUUUGUGUUACAGUCGUGUUGGUGCUGGUUCUUGGGUUUUGUGGGUUAUUUCUGGAAAAGACUUUUCCAAUGUGUGGGGUUUUUUUUUUGUUUGUUUGUUUGUUUGUUUGUUUGUUUUUCCUUUUUUUUCCUACGGGCAAUCACGGACUGCAAAUAUUUGAUUUGCCAGAAGAAAAGCAACGAACAAGGAGUUUAGAGGACAAGGCACAGGAAUCCACCGCACACGCCGACUGCUGCCAUUGGCAUUGCUGGGGACGUUGCUGGUAAAGCUGGAGGAGGCUUCAGGGUGACCCCUGUGUGAAAGGAGCUGGUGAGAGCUUUCCUCCUUGUACCUCCUACAAAGUCAUCCCCACCUGUCUAAGACACCAGUGAGAGCAGCCCAUAAGACAGGUCACGCAGAUAUUUCAUGUUUGCAGCUUUCUUGCAUUUUCUUUUCACUUCCAGAGGAUCUGGUGAAGUCCCAGAGUUACGCUAAGCCCUGGGCGCUUGACACUGCCUAAAUACCGAUGGCAUCUUCCAAAUGGGGACAGGCAGCUUGGGGUGACCUGGGACCACCUGCAAAAGCUGUGCAAAGCCAGCCUGAGGGGGGGGGCUGGCUUUCCCCAGCAGGGGAUGGUGCCCACCUGUGUGUACUCCUGAACUCCCUCAUGUAUGCAAAGGCUCUGUUAUUUCUGUCUAUAAUGCACUGGCUCAGCUGCUAAAUUUGUAAAGAAAUUUUUGUUGCAAGGGCUGGGCAGAAGCAGAGAGGAGUGACAUAAAGAGGUUCAAAAGGGAGGACUGUAAUUAGCUACAACAAAAGUAAAUUGCUCAAGAGCAUUUCUCUUAAUGUUUUUAGUAGCAAACAUCAUGGAGAGCAGGUUUCUCAGGCCAAACAGGAAGGAAAACAAACAAACAACUACAGGCAGCUAAUUCACAGGCUUUUAGAAGUCAGGUUAUCAACCAGGGACCCAGAGACAGGAACUGAUGAAGCACAAAACUCCAGGGAAACAGAUGAGGUUUCCAAAGAACACAAACACAUAAAACCCUAAGAUGUACAUUUAUAAAUAAAUCCAGGAAAGAGCAGGACA